rnacentral:rRNA from 1 species
GACAAAGCGGGGAGAGCGUCCGCGGGAAAAAGGGGUGUGGAAGGGGUACUCUGAAUCAGUGGGCGUAAAGGACGCGUAGGCGGGUUGCCAAGUCAGGUGUGAAAUCCUACAGCUUAACUGGAGAACUGAACUUGAAACUGGUAACCUAGAGUAUGGGAGGGGGAGAUGGAAUUAGUGGUGUAGGGGUAAAAUCCGUAGAUAUCACUAGGAAUACCGAAAGCGAAGGCGAUCUCCUGGAACAUAACUGACGCUAAGGCGUGAAAGCGUGGGGAGCAAACAGGAUUAGAUACCCUGGUAGUC